rnacentral:rRNA from 1 species
UGAGGAAUAUUGGUCAAUGGGCGUAAGCCUGAACCAGCCAUCCCGCGUGAAGGAAGAAGGCGCUAUGCGUCGUAAACUUCUUUUCCGGAGGAAUAAAAUUUUGUACGAGUACAGAACUGAAGGUACUCCGGGAAUAAGCAUCGGCUAACUCCGUGCCAGCAGCCGCGGUAAUACGGAGGAUGCAAGCGUUAUCCGGAUUUAUUGGGUUUAAAGGGUGCGUAGGCGGAUUAAUAAGUCAGUGGUGAAAACCUUCAGCUUAACUGGAGAACUGCCAUUGAUACUGUUAGUCUUGAGUACGGUCAAGGUAGGCGGAAUGUGUAAUGUAGCGGUGAAAUGCUUAGAUAUUACACAGAACACCGAUUGCGAAGGCAGCUUACUGGGCCAUUACUGACGCUGAUGCACGAAAGCGUGGGGAGCGAACAGG